CUCGUAGUUGGAUUUCUCGGGAGGGUGCCAAUGUCCGCCGAAGCGCGUGCUUUGCGGCGCCCUUCCAUCCUUCUGUUAACGCCUUUUGGCAUUCAUUUGCUGGUGGCGGGCUCAGAUAUUUUACCUUGAGAAAAUUAGAGUGUUUCAGGCAGGCUAGGCCGGAAUACAUUAGCAUGGAAUAAUGGAAUAGGACUACGGUCUCUUUGUUGGUUUGAGGGACUGCAGUAAUGAUUAAUAGGGAUAGUUGGGGGCAUUAGUAUUUAAUUGUCACAGGUGGAAUUCUCGGAUUUGUUAACGACUAACUUAUGCGAAAGCAUUUGCCAAGGAUGUUUUCUUUAAUC
rnacentral:rRNA from 1 species